UCCCACUGAAAGCUCUCCCCACUACCCACUCUCCUCACUACCCGCUCUCCUCACUACCCGCUCUCCUCACUACCCACUCUCCUCACUACCCGCUCUCAUCACUUCCGAGCUCCAUCCUCACUGCCAGCUCUCCUCCACUUGCCCAUCUCCUCACUUACCAGCUCUCCUCACUACCCGCUCUCCUCACUACCCGCUCUCCUCACUGCCCGCUCUCCUCACUACCCGCUCUCCACACUACCCGCUCCUCACUACCCGCUUCUUCACUACCCACUCUUACUACCCCU
rnacentral:lncRNA from 1 species